ACAAGAGAAUCUCAAGAAAGAUUAAAACAAGCGGAAGGAACUCGGCAAACCUCAGCCCCGCCUGUUUACCAAAAACAUCGCCUCUUGCCUCAAUAAGAGGUCCCGCCUGCCCAGUGACCCAAUUCAACGGCCGCGGUAUCCUGACCGUGCGAAGGUAGCGUAAUCACUUGUUCUUUAAAUAAGGACUAGUAUGAACGGCACCACGAAGGCUGUACUGUCUCCCGCCUCUAAUCAGUGAACUUAAUCUCCCCGUGAAGAAGCGGGGAUAAAACCAUAAGACGAGAAGACCCCAUGGAGCUUAAAACAAAAGGCACCUGCUAACAACAAAGUUAAGCGACUUGACCUGACGUUUUCGGUUGGGGCGACCACGGAGAACAACCCACCCUCCAUGCUGAAAGAUGAUAAUCUUAGCCAAAACAACCCAUUUAAGCACCAGAAUCCUGACAUUCAUUGACCCAAUCUAAUUGAUCAACGAACCAAGUUACCCUGGGGAUAACAGCGCAAUCCACUUCGAGAGCCCCUAUCGACAAGUGGGUUUACGACCUCGAUGUUGGAUCAGGGUUCCCAAGUGG
rnacentral:rRNA from 1 species